rnacentral:rRNA from 1 species
CGGUUGAUCCUGCCGGACCCGACUGCUAUUUGGGUGAGGAUAAGCCAUGCGAGUCGAAGGGGAUACCUAAAUUUCCCAUGGCGAACUGCUCAGUAACACAUGAUCAACUUACCCUAUUGAGAAAGAUAACCUCGGGAAACUGAGGAUAAUAUUUCAUAGUUGAAUUGGCUUGGAAAAGUUUUUCAACAAAAGGGAUAGGGAAAAUGGUCUCUAUCCGCUAUAGGAUAGGAUCGUGUUCGAUUAUGGUAGUUGGUGAGGUAAAGGCUCACCAAGCCGAUAAUCGAUAGGGGCCGUGAGAGCAGGAGCCCCGAGAUGGGUAUUGAGACAACGACCCAGGCCUUACGAGGCGCAGCAGGUACGAAACCUCCACAAUACACGAAAGUGUGAUGGGCUUACCCAAAGUGUUCAUUAUUGAACUGUGGUAGGAGAGUAAUCUCCCCUACUAGAAAGGAGAGGGCAAGGCUGGUGCCAGCCGCCGCGGUAAAACCAGCUCUUCAAGUGGUCGGGAUAAUUAUUGGGCUUAAAGUGUCCGUAGCCGGUUUAGUAAGUUCCUGGUAAAAUCGGGUAGCUUAGCUAUCUGUAUGCUAGGAAUACUACUAUACUAGAGGGCGGGAGAGGUCUGAGGUACUACAGGGGUAGGGGUGAAAUCUUAUAAUCCUUGUAGGACCACCAGUGGCGAAGGCGUCAGACUGGAACGCGCCUGACGGUGAGGGACGAAAGCCAGGGGAGCGAACCGGAUUAGAUACCCGGGUAGUCCUGGCUGUAAACGAUGCAUACUAGGUGAUGGUACGGCUAUGAGCCAUAUCAGUGCCGUAGGGAAACCGUUAAGUGUGCCGCCUGGGAAGUACGGUCGCAAGGCUGAAACUUAAAGGAAUUGGCGGGAAGGGCGAAUU